rnacentral:rRNA from 1 species
UACGGAAGGUCCGGGCGUUAUCCGGAUUUAUUGGGUUUAAAGGGAGCGCAGGCCGAUGGUUAAGCGUGACGUGAAAUGUAGGUGCUCAACAUCUGCACUGCGUCGCGAACUGGCUAUCUUGAGUGAGUUCGAUGUUGGCGGAAUUUGUGGUGUAGCGGUGAAAUGCUUAGAUAUCACGAAGAACUCCGAUUGCGAAGGCAGCCAACAAGGCCUUUACUGACGCUAAAGCUCGAAGGUGCGGGUAUCGAAC